rnacentral:rRNA from 1 species
CACGUAGGGCGCAAGCGUUGUCCGGAAUUAUUGGGCGUAAAGAGCGUGUAGGCGGCCAGGUAGGUCUGCUGUGAAAACUCGAGGCUCAACCUCGAGACGUCGGCGGAAACCAUCUGGCUAGAGUCCGGAAGAGGAGAGUGGAAUUCCUGGUGUAGCGGUGAAAUGCGCAGAUAUCAGGAAGAACCCCCGUGGCGAAGGCGGCUCACUGGACCGGUAUUGACGCUGAGGUGCGAAAGCGUGGGGAGCAAACAGG